UACGUAGGGUGCAAGCGUUGUCCGGAAUUAUUGGGCGUAAAGAGCGUGUAGGCGGCCAGAUAGGUCCGUUGUGAAACCUGGAGGCUUAACCUCCAGCGGUCGAUGGAAACCAUUUGGCUAGAGUCCGGAAGAGGAGAGUGGAAUUCCUGGUGUAGCGGUGAAAUGCGCAGAUAUCAGGAAGAACACCCGUGGCGAAGGCGGCUCUCUGGGACGGUACUGACGCUGAGACGCGAAAGCGUGGGGAGCGAACAGG
rnacentral:rRNA from 1 species